rnacentral:rRNA from 1 species
GACGAACGCUGGCGGCGUGCCUAAUACAUGCAAGUUGAGCGCUGAAGGUUGGUACUUGUACCGACUGGAUGAGCAGCGAACGGGUGAGUAACGCGUGGGGAAUCUGCCUUUGAGCGGGGGGCAACAUUUGGAAACGAAUGCUAAUACCGCAUAAAAACUUUAAACACAAGUUUUAAGUUUGAAAGAUGCAAUUGCAUCACUCAAAGAUGAUCCCGCGUUGUAUUAGCUAGUUGGUGAGGUAAAGGCUCACCAAGGCGAUGAUACAUAGCCGACCUGAGAGGGUGAUCGGCCACAUUGGGACUGAGACACGGCCCAAACUCCUACGGGAGGCAGCAGUAGGGAAUCUUCGGCAAUAGACGAAAGUCUGACCGAGCAACGCCGCGUGAGUGAAGAAGGGUUUCGGAUCGUAAAACUCGGUUGGUAGAGAAGAACGUUGGUGAGAGUGGAAAGCUCAUCAAGUGACGGUAACUACCCAGAAAGGGACGGCUAACUACGUG